rnacentral:lncRNA from 1 species
AAAUUACUGUACAGCCAGCAAUUGGAGAAUUUAUGGAGAGUUUCCGGCUUGAAGUCCAUUUUUGUGUGAGGAGGUGGGUUGGGGAGACUAGCGUUGGAAGGAUGCCUUUUAAGGAUGCAUUCUAUCAGGAGCUGGAUAUCAGAGCAACUUGGGAGAAAUAGGAAACAGGUGCAGAAACAGAUGGUGUGUUUCUCCAGGGUGCUUAUCUUCCGUGGGAUGACUCAGUAAUCCACGCUGCUUUGAUUUUGUGGCUCCACUGUCUCAAUGUUCAGCAUUCACAGUCUCUGCUCUCUCUGUGGAGGGGGAAGUGCAGCCCGCCGACAACUCAGACCUACUCUCAUGCUGCUUCUGCUCACAGCCCCAUUGGGCCAGAACUGGUCACGCAGUCCUGCCUGACUGCAAGACUGUGUGCCCAGGAAGAGGGGGAGAAGUGGAUACUGGUGAUCACAAGUAAUGUCUACGACAGUGACAACAAGAAGAAGACUGUGGUCAAAUAAGUUUGGAAAACCCCAGGUUGACUGAAAUUCUACAAAUCUCCUCAUGUUAGGAAUUCUCAAUGCCUUUACUCCACUGACGUUGUUGUGAAUGACCAAAAUCGAGACAUUGUGGGCCAUCUGUCUUUCCUACGGUUAUACAUGUCUCUCUCACUUAAGGACCAUAGCUCUCCAGAGCACACUUGGGAGAUACUCUUUGCUGUCUCUCUCUGAGGACCAGGUUUUCCCUGCACAGGGUCCAGGAUUCAGAUACCUUAGGGUGAGCAAAACAAAUAAAAUUUUUCUCUAGAGAUUUAUCUCUGUCUAGGAGUCCCAUAGGUUAAAUAAGCCCUGCACAAUGCCCAAAGCCAGGGUGCCAGCCUGUAUACAGCUGGGUGUAAAACAGGUAGGCCCCACACUUCAGAGUAAGUACAAGACAAUUGUCUUCAAAACAGCUAGCCUCCUUUUUUUGUACUCUUCAUGAUUUAGUGACAUCUAUUUCAGUUCAGCCAUCCUGAUUUCUACUUUAUUUUUUUCUCUCCUGGUAAAACCUAGAGGAACUGGGCUUCAACUCAAUGGUACUGAGUUGUCACUUUGACCAGGUACAGUUUUCAAGCAAGGAGUUUCAGGCACAUGGCACAGUUUGCAGGAGUGGUGUGGGAAGGGGAGUGGACGGUAGUGUGGGGGAGUAAAGGCAAAGAGGACAUGUAUUUUCCUUGAAAUGGAAGCCACCAAGGCUUGCCUUGGAGGUUGCUAUGGACUGAACCGUGUCCUCUCAAAAUUCAUAGGUUGAAGUCCUAACCCUUAAUGUGACUGUAUUUGGAGAUAAUUAAUGUUAAGUAAGUUCAUAAGGGGUGGAAGGCUAGUCCAAUAGGGUUGAUGGCCUUAGGAGAAGAAGAGCUCUCUCUCUCUCUCUCUUACUCUCUC